AGAGUUUGAUCCUGGCUCAGGAUGAACGCUAGCGAGAGGCUUAACACAUGCAAGUCGAGGGGUAACGGGGGAGCUUGCUCCCGCCGACGACCGGCGCACGGGUGAGUAACGCGUAUGCAACCUGCCCGUCACAGGGGGAUAGCCUUCCGAAAGGGAGAUUAAGACCGCAUGAGACCACGCCCCGGCAUCGGGGAGGGGUUAAAUAUUCAUAGGUGGCGGAUGGGCAUGCGUGACAUUAGGUAGUUGGUGGGGCAACGGCCCACCAAGCCGACGAUGUCUAGGGGAACUGAGAGGUUGAUCCCCCACACUGGUACUGAGACACGGACCAGACUCCUACGGGAGGCAGCAGUGAGGAAUAUUGGUCAAUGGGCGGAAGCCUGAACCAGCCAUCUCGCGUGCAGGACUACGGCCCUACGGGUCUUAAACUGCUUUUAUGGGGGGAUAAAGUCGGGCAUGCGUGUCCGUUUGCAGGUACCCCAUGAAUAAGGAUCGGCUAACUCCGUGCCAGCAGCCGCGGUAAUACGGAGGAUCCGAGCGUUAUCCGGAUUUAUUGGGUUUAAAGGGUGCGCAGGCGGCCCGUUAAGUCAGCGGUGAAAUGUCGGGGCUCAACCCGGGCACUGCCGUUGAAACUGGGGGGCUUGAGUACGGAUGAGGUCGGCGGAAUGUGACGUGUAGCGGUGAAAUGCAUAGAUAUGUCACAGAACACCGAUUGCGAAGGCAGCCGGCCAAUCCGCAACUGACGCUCAUGCACGAAAGCGUGGGGAUCGAACAGGAUUAGAUACCCUGGUAGUCCACGCAGUAAACGAUGAAUGCUAGCUGUUUGCGAUACACUGUAAGUGGCUAAGGGAAACCGAUAAGCAUUCCACCUGGGGAGUACGCCGGCAACGGUGAAACUCAAAGGAAUUGACGG
rnacentral:rRNA from 1 species